CAAGCAUGAUGGUUGAGACGCGCUGAUUGCAUCAUCAUUUUCAGCAGAGUAUUUCGACGUGUUUUCGGUUGCGUUAUGACAGAUCGAACAUAUCAACGGAUUCUUGGACCGAUUGUGGGUGUUCCUGAUGUCCCGAAAGGCUUGCACCGCGUCCCGCCCUGAUUGAUUAUUUUGAUGUCCUCUGGUUGGGAACUUGGGAAAAGCUGCCUGAACGCGAUGGCCAUCCGGAUGACAAGCCUGGACAAGUUAACAAAACGGCCGCAGUAUCCGCAGGGUUUGUCUGCUGUUUUGUUUGCAUUUUCGGCUGACGUGAAAUGGAUGGGACUAUAUGGACCCCAAAGAUGUAAAGCAACGGCCAUGUUUGACAGGAUAAGUAGUGCUGGACGCUGGACACGAGUAGGGAUAUUGAGUGCUUUUCUUUGUAUGUUUUAUGGCGUUUUUUAUGUGUUGAAAUCUUUAAAACUAAUGUUAACAAGGCUCUAAUUUACUGCUCAAAUACGUAAAUUCACUUAACAAAUGUUCGCAACAACUGAAUUUAAUUCCAAUAACUAUUUUUUGAUUUUGUGUUUGCGGCAUAUUUUUAUUUUAGGUUUGCAUUCUCUAGAUGAAUAUUUCUAGAUUUCCCUGACAACUAAUUGUAGACACAACUAAUUUUUAAAUUAAUUUCUCUGAUAGUGAUCUCAUAAGUUUAAAAAUAUCAAUUGCAAAAGCCUUAAACGUUUCAAUUCAAUAACAAUAGAUGGUGCCACUGGUAUACUUCUGAUUUUAAUUCCCUCUCAUUGUGUUUUUUAUUAAAUACUGCUGCUGUGCCCUCUGGACUCAUAUUAUUAAUUUUAAUGUGCUCAAAACCAAAAUCAGUUACGCCAAUCACCCUAGAAACAUCAGCACAUUGAAAACAAAUGUAAUUACACUUCGACCAUGAUUGGCUUAACUGUUUUUGGUUUCCAGCACAUCAUAUAUAAUUAUUUAAAGGGUUGAAUGUUGAAUGCACAGCAGCAGGCCCGUGUCCUCUAUCUCAGUGAAAUCUUAUUAAAAUCAAAAGAAUGCCAAUUAAAGGCAGCCAAGGGGGAAUUCCCAACUGCAGGUAAACUCGUACAAUUAUUAUAAUCAUCCAAUAUUAUUUGUUCUGUUACUGCAUCACCUCAAAAAUUAAUAUGUUAUGGUUUUGAACGUUUUAACUAUUAAGUCUUAUUAAUUUGUAAGUGUGCAGUUCUCCGCAGUCUAUUUUUUGGUGUUGAAAAAUUGUUGUUUGCACUUGAUAAUUUAUUUUUUUAAUUGUAACUGCUUAUUCUGUUAUUGAAAGGUGGAAUGUAACUUAACUGCAUCAGGUAUAACCUUCGAAUUUUCACUGCCAAACCUAGUUUUCAAUUGUGAACGACUUUUAAUUCGCAGGUCAAAGGUCAUGGUCACCUUUCUUUUUUGAAAAUUCAAUAUUAAGGAAUGAUAGCCCUCUCAGAUUUUUUGGGGUUAGCCCGUGAAAAUCUGCACAAGCACACCAAGUUUUAGAAGUACCAAAAAUGUUUGCUGUAAUU